rnacentral:rRNA from 1 species
UACGUAGGUGGCAAGCGUUGUCCGGAUUUAUUGGGUUUAAAGGGUGCGUAGGCGGUGGUUUAAGUCAGUGGUGAAAUACGGCAGCUUAACUGUCGAGGUGCCAUUGAUACUGGGUCACUUGAGUACUGAUGAGGUAGGCGGAAUGGACGGUGUAGCGGUGAAAUGCUUAGAGAUCGUCCAGAACACCGAUAGCGAAGGCAGCUUACUAAGGAGUAACUGACGCUGAGGCACGAAAGUGUGGGGAUCAAACAGG